CAAUAGCGUAUAUUAAAGCUGUUGCGGUUAAAAAGCUCGUAGUUGGAUUUCUGUCAAGGACAACUGGUUCGCCCUCCGGGUGAGCACAUAGUUUGGUCUUGACAUCUUGCUGGAAGCUGUUGCUGCACUUGGCUGUGUGGCGCAGUGUUCAGCACUUUCACUUUGAGGAAAUUGGAGUGUUUCAAGCAGGCACAUGCCUUUGGACACAGUAGCAUGGAAUAAUUAGAUUGGGCUUUUGCUCCAAUUUGUCGGUUUCUGGAGCUGAGGUGAGUAUUAAUGGGGAUUGUUGGGGGCAUCCGAAUUUAGCCGUCAGAGGUGAAAUUCUUGGAUCUGCUAAAGACGGACAACUGCGAAAGCGUUUGCCCAGGAUGUUUUCAUUGA
rnacentral:rRNA from 1 species